CAAACACAUAUAUGUAUAUACUCUUUGUUCUGUUUCACUUCCUAUCUUGGUUCAGCUUCGUUGUUUCUGGGUUCACAGACUACAGGCCAAACUCCACCAUCUGGUCAACUGGUUACUGGAUUGGACCAUGUAAUCAUCACCAUGAAUAAGGGGGAUAUGGCAGUAUUCAUGUUGGCUCCUCGUUUGGGUUAUGGAGCCAUAGGUAGAAAUGGUGUCCCUCCCAAUUGUGUUAUUUAGUUUGAAGUGGAUCUCAUCUCAUGGAUCAUAGUAGUAAAUAUUUGCAAGGAUGGUGGAAUUAUCAAGAAAGUGAUAGAGAAAGGAGAACAAAUUGGCCCACUUCCAUCCUAGUUCCUACCCAAGGUUUGUUGUCUCAUUUCAACAUUUUUCCUUAAAAUUCUUUUGAUGCUAAUGUAAUGAUGAUUGUUUCAUGUGUCUGAUGAUUGAUUGAUUUAUGAUCUCUGUACAGAUCGAGAUCAGAAACCUGAACAAGUUUUGGCACCAUUGGGAGAGGAAAAAUGUUGAGUAUUUUACAUUGGCUGAUCUUUGGAAUUCUUUUGAUGAAUGGAGUGCUUAUGAUGCUUAUGUGCCUUACCUCUUUGCAAUCCAAAUCUUUACAAGCAAGUCGUUGGCGAACAGUUUAAGAACUGGAAACUCUAUGAUGAAACAAAGAUUGGGCUGGGAUUAAUAGCAUUUGGCGUAGUGUUCUCAUUCUUGGGAAUCAUUUGAUUUUUUGACAAGGGACUACUUGCCAUGGGAAAUAUCCUCGUUCUUAUCAGCAGUGAUGAUAACCAUUGGACCGAAGUCCUCGAUGUAGUUUUUCACGUAACGUAGCAAUUUCAUGGUUUGUUUGCUCUAUGUUUCCUCUAUUUAGUGUGUGUACUUAUCUCCCAUUUUUAUUUACCACUCUGGGUCUUGCCUUGUGAUGAUUGUACACAGAAUUAUUUCCUUCGACGUGGACUUUUUCUUGGUUGUGCAGUGGCUUUUGGCCAACACUGUUAGUUUUUGUGCAGAAGAUGCGUAUUAUUGGGUGGGUGUUCCAACAACCAUUUGUUAGAUCGAGAUGUUUAUUUUGCAAUUCAAUAUAAUGUUUUUUUAGAGAGAAGGUCGUUUAUCAAGAUAUUGCAUCAUGUUGCUGCAUUCAGUUAAGGUUCUCUCUCACCAUCUGUUUUGGAGGAAGUAGAUUCUUUUGUGAAUAUAAUGUUUUCCUCAGGCACAUUAUUGAGAUGUAGUGUUUCCUCUCUUAGUAGAAAAUCUAGACAUAUUCCUAAAUUAUAAAAAUAGGUAAUGGUAGGAAGGAUUUCUGAUUUUGAAAACUAACUAAUUUCUAAUAUAAGAAUGACCAUUUCAUCAUUUCCAUUUU